ACAUUUUUGUCACUGAUAGCAAUUGUGUUCUUGAUGGGCAGGCUGCAGUCAAGCUCAGGAGGAGCAUGAAAUCAAGUUCUGACUUAGGCAUGUGAUCGCACCCUUCUUCACCUGUACA